rnacentral:rRNA from 1 species
CCAAUCGAACGUGGAGAUAGCUGGUUCUCCCCGAAAUAGCUUUAGGGCUAGCCUCAGGGAAAAGAUUGCAGGCGGUAGAGCACUGAUCAGGAGAGGGACCUACCCGGUUACCAAACCCAGUCAAACUCCGAAUGGCUGCAAUCAUACCUGGGAGUCAGACUGCGACUAAUAAGGGCCGCAGUCAAAAGGGAAACAGCCCAGACCAUCAGCUAAGGUCCCCAAUGCCGUGCUAAGUGGAAAAGGAUGUGGCAUUUCAUAAACAACCAGGAUGUUGGCUCAGAAGCAGCCACCAUUUAAAGAGUGCGUAAUAGCUCACUGGUCGAGAGACGCUGCGCCGAAAAUGUCCGGGGCUCAAGCACGGAACCGAAGCUAUGGCAUGAUAGCAAUAUCAUGGGUAGGGGAGCGUUCUUAUAAGGAAGAAGCAUGACCGGAAGGACAUGUGGACAAAUAAGAAGUGAGAAUGCCGGUAUGAGUAUCGAAAAGAAAGGUGAGAAUCCUUUCCACCGAAAGCCCGAGGGUUCCUGAGCAACGAUCGUCGACUCAGGGUAAGUCGGGACCUAAGCCGAGGCGAAAAGCAUAGGCGAUGGACAACAGGUUGAAAUUCCUGUACCGGAUAAAGUCGAUAUGAGCAAUGGAGUGACGCAGGAGGGUACAUGAUCGCGCGAGUGGAAGAGCGCGUCCAAGUGAGUAUGUAGAUACAGAGGCAAAUCCCUGUAUCUGAAAGCAGAGACAUGAUGGGGAGUUAAAGGAAACUUUGACGAACUGAUGGAUCCCACACUGCCAAGAAAAACUUCUAGCCAGACAAUAUCCGCCCGUACCGUAAACCGACACAGGUAGGCGGGGAGAGAAUCCUAAGGUGCGCGGGAAAACCCUCGUUAAGGAACUCGGCAAAUUGCAUCCGUAACCUAGGGAGAAGGAUGGCCCCCGGUCAGUGAAGAGCAGAAACGCUCAGAGCUAAAAGGGGCGGCAGAAAAGAGGCCCAAGCAACUGUUUACCAAAAACACAGGUGCCUGCGAAAGCGAAAGCUGAAGUAUAGGUGCUGACGCCUGCCCGGUGCCGGAAGGUUAAGGAGAGAAGUUAGCGAAAGCGAAGCAUCGAACUGAAGCCCCGGUGAACGGCGGCCGUAACUAUAACGGUCCUAAGGUAGCGAAAUUCCUUGUCGGGUAAGUUCCGACCCGCAUGAAAGGCGUAAUGAUUUGGGCACUGUCUCAACGAGGGGCCCGGUGAAAUUGAAAUACCUGUGAAGAUGCAGGUUACCCGCGACUGGACAGAAAGACCCCAUGGAGCUUCACUGCAGCUUGAGAUUGAAUCCCGGUGACAGAUGCACAGGAUAGGUGGGAGGCGCCGAAGCAUUGCCCUAGGGCGGUGCGGAGCCGAUGUUGGGAUACCACCCUUCUGUUGCUGAGAUUCUAACGCGAGGAGUAACGACCCUGCGGACCCUCUCAGGCAGGCGGUUUGACUGGGGCGGUCGCCUCCGAAAGAGUAACGGAGGCGCCCAAAGGUUCCCUCAGGCCGGACAGAAACCGGCCGAAGAGUGCAAAGGCAGAAGGGAGCUUGACUGCGAGACCAACAAGUCGAGCAGAGACGAAAGUCGGGCUUAGUGAUCCGGUGGUACUGAGUGGAAAGGCCAUCGCUCAACGGAUAAAAGCUACCCUGGGGAUAACAGGCUAAUCUCUCCCAAGAGUUCAUAUCGACGGGGAGGUUUGGCACCUCGAUGUCGGCUCAUCACAUCCUGGGGCUGAAGUAGGUCCCAAGG